GCGGAUAUGAUCUAGCGGUAUGAUAAUGGCUUCCCAAGCCAUUUACUCGGGUUCAAAUCCCGGUAUCCGCA
rnacentral:tRNA from 1 species